rnacentral:rRNA from 1 species
GAGUUUGAUCCUGGCUCAGAACGAACGCUGGCGGCAGGCUUAACAUAUGCAAGUCGAGCGGACCUUCGGGUUAGCGGCGGACGGGUGAGUAACGCGUGGGAAUGUGCCUCUGGGUACGGAACAACCGCUGGAAACGGCGGCUAAUACCGUAUGACGUCUUCGGACCAAAGAUUUAUCGCCCAGAGAUCGGCCCGCGUUGGAUUAGGUAGUUGGUGGGGUAACGGCCCACCAAGCCGACGAUCCAUAGCUGGUUUGAGAGGAUGAUCAGCCACACUGGGACUGAGACACGGCCCAGACUCCUACGGGAGGCAGCAGUGGGGAAUCUUGGACAAUGGGGGCAACCCUGAUCCAGCCAUGCCGCGUGAGCGAUGACGGCCUUAGGGUUGUAAAGCUCUUUCACCGGUGACGAUAAUGACGGUAGCCGGAGAAGAAGCCCCGGCUAACUCCGUGCCAGCAGCCGCGGUAAUACGGAGGGGGCUAGCGUUGUUCGGAAUUACUGGGCGUAAAGCGCGCGUAGGCGGACUUUUAAGUCGGGGGUGAAAUCCCGGGGCUCAACCCUGGAACUGCCUUCGAUACUGGAAGUCUUG